rnacentral:rRNA from 1 species
GUGGGGAAUAUUGGGCAAUGGGCGAAAGCCUGACCCAGCAACGCCGCGUGAGGGAAGAAGGUCUUCGGAUUGUAAACCUCUGUCCUUGGGGACGAAAAAAAUGACGGUACCCAAGGAGGAAGCUCCGGCUAACUACGUGCCAGCAGCCGCGGUAAUACGUAGGGAGCGAGCGUUGUCCGGAAUUACUGGGCGUAAAGGGUGCGUAGGCGGCUUGGCAAGUCAGAUGUGAAAUCCCCGGGCUUAACUCGGGAGUUGCAUUUGAAACUGCUAGGCUUGAGUGCAGGAGAGGAAAGCGGAAUUCCUAGUGUAGCGGUGAAAUGCGUAGAUAUUAGGAGGAACACCAGUGGCGAAGGCGGCUUUCUGGACUGUAACUGACGCUGAGGCACGAAAGCGUGGGGAGCAAACAGGAUUAGAUACCCGAGUAGUCC